rnacentral:rRNA from 1 species
AUGCGCCGGACGACCACCCAGCGCUGGGGGCCGCACCGCCGCACCGACCGGGUGUCAGGCUCCGGCGCCGUCGCGGUCGACCGCCUCAGCGCCCUCCCUGACGCGCUCCUGCACCACAUCAUGUCGUUCCUCAAGGCGUGGGAGGCGGUGCCCACCUGCGUGCUCGCGCGCCGGUGGCGCCACCUCUGGGAGUCCGCGCCCUGCGUCGACCUCCGCCUGCGCUACAUGAGCCGCGACGGCGACCCUCCGCAGGAGUUUCGCGACUUCGUGCACCGCCUCUCCCUCCUCCGCGAUGUGUCGGCGCCGGUGGACACGCUCCGCCUGCAGCCCAGCGACGAAGACGCCGGCUUCAACGAGGAGGACGCCAGCAUCUGGAUCAGGACUGCUCUCAAGCGCAAGGCGCGGGUUAUUCAUCUUGCUGGGCAUCACACGAGAGCCGCGUCGUUGGACGGUGUGCCCUUUGUUUCGUGCCACCUCAAGAUCUUGAAGUUGUCCUACGCCAGGCUCGAUGACAGUGUCCUCCGACAGCUUUCUGCUAGUUGCAAAUCCUUGGAAGAACUGGAUCUCAAGGAUUGCUUGCUGACAGACCCUGGGAUUGUGUCUGCCUCUUUGAAGACCUUAAUCAUGCUUAAGUGCAAGUUCAAUUCGGGCUUCUCAAUUGCACCUCCCAACCUCGUACUUCUGCACCUCAUCACACCGUAUGCCCAAGUUCCGUCAUUUACCAACUUUGGGUCACUGGUCAUAGCCACUAUCUUACUUGAUGACCAUUUCUUGAGCAAUGAAUUUGAACACAUCAGCAAUAAAGAUGACUGUGAUGAAACUACUGAUGACGAUGGCAAUGAUGAUAAGAGGAGCUAUAGGAUUCAUGAUUUUGGAUAUGGAUAUGGUUUUCCUGAAGAAAGAUAUGGGCGCAGUGGUUACAAGGAUAAUUAUAAUUAUGGUAGCAAUAUUGAUAGUGAUGAUAAUACCUAUGAAUACUGUGAGAUCGCAAAUGAUGGAGUCUCGGCGUCCUGUGACUCGGAGGGUCGCUCGACGCUGGUCUCCCCGAAAUAUGGUAUGCUAUUGGCGUACUCUCGAAAAAAAAAUUAUAGUAUUCUAGGUGGCCAUCAUAUGCUUGAGAGCCUUUCCACAGCUAGGAGUUUGGAGUUGUUAACUGAUGCUGGGGAGGUGGUUCUGGAUAGGGAAUUGAGAAGGUGUCCAACUUUUAGCAACCUGAAGACCCUGUCCCUUGGUGAAUGGUGUAUGGCCGCUGAUUUCGAUGCAUUAAUUUUGUUGCUACAGCAUUCACCUAAUAUAAAGAGGCUUUUUCUCCAACUCAAAUUGAACUUCAGCACAAGGAAGGCAUUGGAAACAGGUAUCAAACUACAGGGAAGAUCAUUUACUUGCAAAGAACUUAGAAUGGUGAAGAUCAAAUGUUCAAAGGACGAUGGGAGAGUCCACACCUUGGCACAUAUGUUCAGGGCAAAUGAUAUACCGCUAGAGAAUAUUUAUGUGCGUCGGAGUGGGAAUGCUUAUCUCCGUGGCCAGAAGUUUAUGAGAGACCUCGCCAAGCAAGAACUGGAUGAAUGUGGGGACGACUGGAUGUAA